rnacentral:rRNA from 1 species
UACAGAGGUCUCAAGCGUUGUUCGGAUUCAUUGGGCGUAAAGGGUGCGUAGGUGGCGGGGCAAGUUUGGUGUGAAAUCCCGGGGCUCAACCCCGGAACUGCACUGAAUACUGCCUUGCUAGAGCACUGGAGAGGGAACUGGAAUUUACGGUGUAGCAGUGAAAUGCGUAGAUAUCGUAAGGAAGACCAGUGGCGAAGGCGAAUCUCUGGACAGUUACUGACACUGAGGCACGAAGGCCAGGGGAGCAAACGGG